UCAAAUUUUUACGUUAUCUUGCAACUGUGUUGGCAAUUUGUAGAUUUGUUCUUUGCAAUGUCUUUGUAAUGUUUCAUUGCAACUUGCAAAAUUGCAAUGAAACAUUACAGAGACAUUCCUACAAUGUAAUUGUAAUAAUUUGUAUUGUAUGCAGGUUCUCUCGUUUUAUCAAACAUAGAAUUAUUUUUAACUCACUCCAAAACGUAAAUAGCAUCUAUGGUAAGGAUUCAAACGUCUAGUCCGUGGGCCGUACCUUUGACACCCCUGAUCUAUGGUAUGUCUAUUAUGCCUAUGUAUAUACUACACGAUGUGGUAAAAGAUAACGAUUUCGUUGUAUUAAUGAGAGCUUGCUAUUUCCAGUUUGACUGCGUCGAAAGAAUAAGUAAGAUUAAGUGUAUUAAUUAUUAAAUACACAUUUAAGUGUUGAUACGCGUUAAGUGCACAAGUAUUAAUACGCGAUUAAGAACACGUUUAAGUGUUACGCAAUUGAAUAUAAGAACACGAUUAAAAUUCACUUUCAACAGAACUUUGUUGAGUGAAAUUGUUGGCUAUGUUGAUAACAUCGAAUCUCCACGUUGCGUGGGCUCGCAACAACAAUAUAAGUUCUUCAAAUUUUAUUUAAAUAACGGAAAAGGAAAAAGGGUUCAAAUUGUUGCCUGGAAUGAUGACAUUGAUUUUGUGGAACAUCAUAUAAAAGUAAACACUUAUUGAGAGGAUACGUAAAGACGAAUUUUGCUGAAGUAUAUAACAACAACAUGAACAAAAUUAUUGGAUGUGGUGCAAUAACUGAUGGCACAUUCAAACUGGAAAUUCAUGUAAUAAAUUUUAGUAACGAUGAUUAUACUUUACUUGAUAUUAGAAAAGGUGAUCAUGUAGAAAUUAUUGGUAUCAUGCAAACUACAGGAUCAGAAUAAGAGAAAUUCAACUUCCACGUCCA